rnacentral:lncRNA from 1 species
AUGCGCUCUUCAUCACCACCGGUUCGUUUUCUCAUCAACAAUCAAUGAAAUCAUCAUGUUUACUGGUGAAUUGAUCAAUUGAAACUGAUUUUAAACUUGAAUUGAAGCAACCCCUUCGUUUCCAGACCCACCCCCUUAUUACUCGGCAAUUGAACGCCUUUGUUGGUGGAGAAGGUUCGUUGGCAUCUGGGUUGGGUCGAAAUCUCUUGCACAGUCUUCUUCUUAAGCGAUCUGAAAUGGUUUGUGGGACAGUUCUUAUGUAGUUAUAGCACCCUACCAAUGUAUGCACUCGAUACGCAGAUAGAAGAGUUCUGUGAUAGUGUGAUGAUACAAAGAAGAGUUCUAUCAAGGUUUUGAUCUCUAUGUAUACCUCUGGAUAGUUGGUUUUGAUCUCUAUGUAUACCUCUAGAUAGUUGGGUUUAUGGUAGUGGUUCCGUGUUCUGAGUACGGGAAUCGAGUUAAAAAGCUGGAUUCUAUAAACCUCUACGGUGAUAAAGAUCAAUGGGUCUGGAUUGGCGGAAAAGAUAGCGAUUUUUCAGUUGGAGUGGUCAAAAGGUUCUUGAGAAGUGAGAGAGAUUGCAGUAACAACUUUGUUCUCAAGUGGUCGAAACAGGUGCCAAAGAAAUGCAGUAUAUUGGUGUGGUGUGCUGAGAUGGGGAGGAUCCCGACAGUUGACGUGCUUUUAAAACGAAACUGCUACAACGGAGAAGACAUGUGUGUUUUAUGUGAAGACAGCUGAUCAUCUCUUCUGUAGCUGUUACGUGGCUGCUGUGUUAUGGAAUCGGGUCAGUCUCUGGUGCAAGAUAAGUCCCAUCUACGCUUUUUUGGUUAAAGACUUUCUGGAAAUUUACAAGUACGCAGGUUUGAAGAAGCAUGAGGAAGAUAUCAUGCAUGGUAUUAUUAUGGUCGGCUGCUGGAUCUUAUGGAAAAGGAGGAACAACAUCAGGUUUUCUGGCAUUAGCGUCUAUAUUGGUAAAAUCUUUCAAGAUGUUAUGGUGCUUGGUUUUUUUUGGUAUAGGAGUAGAUCUAAAAAUAGAGAAUUGUCUUGGGCUAACUGGUGCUCUUUUCAAAUGUUUUAAAGGCCUGUGCUGCUGUUGUGUUUUGUUGCUGCCCAUGUGUU